AUUAUUUUCUCUCUCCUACUUUGAAUAUGUGGGCCCCAUGUGGAUGAUGCCUUUUUCAGUACAACCAUUCGUGUGAUGUACAAAUUCCUCCCCAAUCUCGUUGCAUCAUUAUUGGCUUAUAAGCUUGGAGUCACACAGUGUACAAUUGCACAUGCACUGGAGAAAACAAAAUAUCCAGAUUCAGACAUAUAUUGGAA